rnacentral:tRNA from 1 species
GCCCCGUUCGUCUAGCGGUCAGGACUCUGGAUUUUCAUUUCAGCAACAGGGGUUCGAUUCCCCUACGGGGUA